rnacentral:rRNA from 1 species
AGCGAACGCUGGCGGCAGGCCUAAUACAUGCAAGUCGAGCGGGUCCUUCGGGAUUAGCGGCGGACGGGUGAGUAACGCGUGGAACGUGCCCUUUGGUACGGAACAACUGAGGGAAACUUCAGCUAAUACCGUAUGUGCCCUUCGGGGAAAGAUUUAUCGCCAUUGGGGCGGCCCGCGUUGGAUUAGGUAGUUGGUGAGGUAAAAGGCUCACCAAGCCUACGAUCCAUAGCUGGUCUGAGAGGAUGACCAGCCACACUGGGACUGAGACACGGCCCAGACUCCUACGGGAGGCAGCAGUAGGGAAUCUUGCGCAAUGGGCGAAAGCCUGACGCAGCCAUGCCGCGUGAAUGAUGAAGGUCUUAGGAUUGUAAAAUUCUUUCACCGGGGACGAUAAUGACGGUACCCGGAGAAGAAGCCCCGGCUAACUUCGUGCCAGCAGCCGCGGUAAU